rnacentral:rRNA from 1 species
AUUGAACGCUGGCGGCAUGCUUUACACAUGCAAGUCGAACGGUAACAGGGUGCUUGCACCGCUGACGAGUGGCGAACGGGUGAGUAAUGCGUCGGAACGUGCCGAGUAGUGGGGGAUAACGCAGCGAAAGUUGUGCUAAUACCGCAUACGUACUGAGGUAGAAAGUGGGGGACCUUCGGGCCCCACGCCAUUCGUGCGGCCGACGGCUGAUUAGCUAGUAGGGGAGGUAAAGGCUCACCUAGGCGACGAUCAGUAGCGGGUCUGAGAGGAUGAUCCGCCACACUGGGACUGAGACACGGCCCAGACUCCUACGGGAGGCAGCAGUGGGGAAUUUUGGACAAUGGGCGAAAGCCUGAUCCAGCCAUGCCGCGUGUCUGAAGAAGGCCUUCGGGUUGUAAAGGACUUUUGUCAGGGAGGAAAUCCCUAGUGCUAAUAACACUGGGGGAUGACAGUACCUGAAGAAUAAGCACCGGCUAACUACGUGCCAGCAGCCGCAGUAA